GAUGAACGCUGGCGGCGUGCCUAAUACAUGCAAGUCGAGCGAACAGACGAGGAGCUUGCUCCUCUGACGUUAGCGGCGGACGGGUGAGUAACACGUGGAUAACCUACCUAUAAGACUGGGAUAACUUCGGGAAACCGGAGCUAAUACCGGAUAACAUGUUGAACCGCAUGGUUCAACAGUGAAAGACGGUCUUGCUGUCACUUAUAGAUGGAUCCGCGCCGCAUUAGCUAGUUGGUAAGGUAACGGCUUACCAAGGCAACGAUGCGUAGCCGACCUGAGAGGGUGAUCGGCCACACUGGAACUGAGACACGGUCCAGACUCCUACGGGAGGCAGCAGUAGGGAAUCUGCCGCAAUGGGCGAAAGCCUGACGGAGCAACGCCGCGUGAGUGAAGAAGGUCUUCGGAGCGUAAAACUCUGUUAUUAGGGAAGAACAAAUGUGUAAGUAACUAUGCACGUCGUGACGGUACCGAAUCAGAAAGCCACGGCUAACUACGUG
rnacentral:rRNA from 1 species